AUUGAACGCUGGCGGCAUGCCUUACACAUGCAAGUCGAACGGCAGCACGGGAGCAAUCCUGGUGGCGAGUGGCGAACGGGUGAGUAAUGUAUCGGAACGUACCUUUCAGUGGGGGAUAACGUAGCGAAAGUUACGCUAACACCGCAUAUUCUGUGAGCAGGAAAGCAGGGGAUCGCAAGACCUUGCGCUGAUUGAGCGGCCGAUAUCAGAUUAGCUAGUUGGUGAGGUAAAGGCUCACCAAGGCGACGAUCUGUAGCGGGUCUGAGAGGAUGAUCCGCCACACUGGAACUGAGACACGGUCCAGACUCCUACGGGAGGCAGCAGUGGGGAAUUUUGGACAAUGGGGGCAACCCUGAUCCAGCCAUGCCGCGUGAGUGAGAAGG
rnacentral:rRNA from 1 species